rnacentral:RNase_P_RNA from 1 species
GUAGUGGUCCGAGGUGAUCGCCGCGGGCGGCGCCCGCGAUGGGCGCCGGUAGCGGAGGAAAGUCCGAACUCCAGAGGGCAGCGUGCUGGCUAACGCCCAGUCAGGGUGACCUGAAGGAAAGUGGCACAGAAAACAUACCGCCCGCCUUCGCGCGCUACGCGCGCUAUGGCGAGGCAAGCCCCUGAGGCUGUUGGGCAGCGCAGCCCGGUGGUCGGGGAGCUUGCUUCGCCAUAGCGCGCGUAGCGCGCGGAGGCGAGUAAGGGUGAAAAGGUGCGGUAAGAGCGCACCGCGCACCCCGUGAGGGGUGUGGCAGGCUAAACCCCACGCGGAGCAAGACCAAAUAGGGGGGCGCUGGCGGGCCGGCGCGGGCUUGUCUCGCCGUAGCGCGCCUCGCGCGCGAAGGCGGGUCACCGCGCACGGAGCUCGCCGGGAGGGCUGCCCGCUCGAAGCCUCCGGGUAGGUCGCUAGAGACCGUCAGCGAUGACGGUCCGAGAGGAAUGAUCACCACCGAGCUCGCCGGGAGGUGGGCGCGGAACAGAAUUCGGCUUACUGGACCACUGCGACC